AUCCCUCCUCUUCAACACAGACGAUCUUCGGAGUCAGCCGCUCCGCCGACACGUCGGUCCGGAUACUCUGCCUGGAAACACCGAAAACUAAUCGGAACCAGCGGCCGACAGAGACGGACGGGUCUCACAGGAUACGAGGGGGUCGACUAGGUGUGACUCGCUGUGUUGGUGAUGAUGGGAGGAGAGCAGAGCCAUGAGAGGAAGGAGAGUAAAGAGGAGACUGAAACACCUGAAGAAUCUGUCGGCACUGACAGCUCCGGAUCGGCUGCUUCUGAAGACACCCCAGGAGAGCUGCCCCAGUGCAAGAUGGGAAACAAGAAGGUGGACAACAUGUGCUUCAUGAUCUCUUGCACCAACUGGUACUAAACUGGUCCUGGUACAGGUGCAGGUUGAGGAAACAGGAGGUGUUCAUGUGAGCAGAACUCUGGUGGAGAGCGUGGAGUCACUACUGGGUCAGACGCUGCAUUCAUGAACCCAUCGAAAAUCUGAAAACAUAGCUGACGCUGAAGUCCAAUGUGCUUGUUGCUGUGCUCCACUGCUGCUCUUAAGAGGAAGAUGCCGUAGUGUUAAUGAGCUUGUGUGUCUAAAGUUUGGAUGAGAUACCUGUUUUACAGCUCAGUUAAUGUCAAAUGGAUGAGUUCUGUAUUGAACUGUUUCUAGCUACAUUCAGUGUUACCUUUAAAUGAAAUAGUGUUGCUUUAGUGUAACUACUGUAAGUGAAGGAGACCACAGAUGAUUAGCUUCUGUCAAAUGAUGACAUCAUGCUAAUAGAGGCUAAAGCUAACAGGCACGAGGUUAUGUGUGUGUUGCUAAAGCUAAAAAAUCUACAGAUUUGAUCCGUCUGAAUGUUUCUCUUCAUGCUUUGGAUGGCAGAAGUACAGACUAAUAUUUGGUCGGUUUAUGGUUGAAAUCCCUCCGCUGACAGUUUGCUGCAUUAGUGAGGUUUGAAUUUGAAUCAGUUGUUUUAACAGUACUGGCUGAAAUAAAGAGGUUUGAUAUUUGCA